UGAUUUCCAAGCCCUCCACCACAAGAAAAUAAGUUAUAAUGCCGAUGUUGGGUCCGUCUUAUGAAUACGUCGCCAGCUUGAGAUGGGAUGAGAAACUUGACUGAGUAUAAUUCCACAACCUGUAGUGUCGGCUAACAUUACAAUAGCAGGACAAGAAACAAAUAAAUGAGAAGAAGACUCAUUGGUUAAUCCACAGACGGGGCACAAAGGUGAAACAUCCACAUUACGGGACAACAAUGCCUCGCAAAGCAGUAGUGCUCAUGAGAACAGUUUCCAAACAAAAAAGAUUAACUUGGGUUGGAUAGGCAGCGACCAGACAGACGCUGAAAAUGAUGAGUCAACAAGAAGAGGACCCGACUUCACAAUUGUUGCUUGAUUCCGCAAAGAAUGACUUAAUCUGUAUCCAGAGGAGGCCUUACAAAUUCCAGUACGACAAUGUAUCCAAAUCC
rnacentral:lncRNA from 1 species